rnacentral:rRNA from 1 species
GGCUCAACCUGGGAACUGCAUCUGAUACUGGCAAGCUUGAGUCUCGUAGAGGGGGGUAGAAUUCCAGGUGUAGCGGUGAAAUGCGUAGAGAUCUGGAGGAAUACCGGUGGCGAAGGCGGCCCCCUGGACGAAGACUGACGCUCAGGUGCGAAAGCGUGGGGAGCAAACAGGAUUAGAUACCCUGGUAGUCCACGCCGUAAACGAUGUCGACUUGGAGGUUGUGCCCUUGAGGCGUGGCUUCCGGAGCUAACGCGUUAAGUCGACCGCCUGGGGAGUACGGCCGCAAGGUUAAAACUCAAAUGAAUUGACGGGGGCCCGCACAAGCGGUGGAGCAUGUGGUUUAAUUCGAUGCAACGCGAAGAACCUUACCUGGUCUUGACAUCCACGGAAGUUUUCAGAGAUGAGAAUGUGCCUUCGGGAAC